ACGUAGGUGGCGAGCGUUAUCCGGAAUUAUUGGGCGUAAAGAGGGAGCAGGCGGCAGCAGAGGUCUGUGGUGAAAGACUGAAGCUUAACUUCAGUAAGCCAUAGAAACCGGGCAGCUAGAGUGCAGGAGAGGAUCGUGGAAUUCCAUGUGUAGCGGUGAAAUGCGUAGAUAUAUGGAGGAACACCAGUGGCGAAGGCGACGAUCUGGCCUGUAACUGACGCUCAUUCCCGAAAGCGUGGGGAGCAAAUAGGAUUAGAUACCCUAGUAGUCCACGCCGUAAACGAUGAGUACUAAGUGUUGGGAGUCAAAUCUCAGUGCUGCAGUUAACGCAAUAAGUACUCCGCCUGAGUAGUACGUUCGCAAGAAUG
rnacentral:rRNA from 1 species